rnacentral:rRNA from 1 species
AAUGAACGUUGGCGGCGUGGAUUAGGCAUGCAAGUCGGACGCCCCGCAAGGGGCGUGGCGCAAGGGUGAGUAAGGCGACGGCAACCAACCCCGGGGUCGGGCAUAGUCGGGGGAAACCCCGAGUAAUUCCCGGCGACCUCGCGACGUGGCAUCACGACGCGAGUAAAGGUGCGAUUCCGCCCCGGGACGGGCCGUCGUGGUAUCAGGUCGUUGGUGGGGUCACGGCCCACCAAGCCGAGGACGCCUACCGGGCGUGCGAGCGUGGCCCGGCACACUGGGACUGAGACACUGCCCAGACACCUACGGGUGGCUGCAGUCGAGAAUCUUCGGCAAUGGGCGCAAGCCUGACCGAGCGACGCCGCGUGGAGGAUGAAGGCCUUCGGGUUGUAAACUCCUGUCGAGGGGGAACAAGGCCCCGUGAAGAGCGGGGCCGGAGUGAUCCCUGGAGGAAGCACGGGCUAAGUUCGUGCCAGCCGCCGCAGUAAUAC